rnacentral:miRNA from 1 species
CUGCCCGCGGCGCCCGGCCGCG